AUUGAACGCUGGCGGCAGGCCUAACACAUGCAAGUCGAGCGGAUGAAGGGAGCUUGCUCCUGGAUUCAGCGGCGGACGGGUGAGUAAUGCCUAGGAAUCUGCCUGGUUGUGGGGGAUAACGCCCGGAAACGGGCGCUAAUACCGCAUACGUCCUGAGGGAGAAAGUGGGGGAUCUUCGGACCUCACGCUAUCAGAUGAGCCUAGGUCGGAUUAGCUAGUUGGUGGGGUAAAGGCCUACCAAGGCGACGAUCCGUAACUGGUCUGAGAGGAUGAUCAGUCACACUGGAACUGAGACACGGUCCAGACUCCUACGGGAGGCAGCAGUGGGGAAUAUUGGGCAAUGGGCGAAAGCCUGAUCCAGCCAUGCCGCGUGUGUGAAGAAGGUCUUCGGAUUGUAAAGCACUUUUAGUUGGGAGGAAGGGCAGUAAGUUAAUACCUUGCUGUUUUGACGUUACCAACAGAAUAAGCACCGGCUAACUUCGUG
rnacentral:rRNA from 1 species